rnacentral:rRNA from 1 species
UACGUAGGGUGCAAGCGUUGUCCGGAAUUAUUGGGCGUAAAGAGCUCGUAGGCGGUCUGUUACGUCGCUGUGAAAACCUGGGGCUCAACCCCGGGCCUGCAGCCGAUACGGGCAGACUAGAAUUCGGUAGGGGAGACUGGAAUUUACGGUGUAGCGGUGAAAUGCGUAGAUAUCGUAAGGAAGACCAGUGGCGAAGGCGGGUCUCUG